rnacentral:rRNA from 1 species
GUAGGUGGCAAGCGUUGUCCGGGAAUUAUUGGGGCGUAAAGCGCGCGCAGGCGGUUCUUUAAGUCUGAUGUGAAAGCCCACGGGCUCAACCGUGGAGGGUCAUUGGAAACUGGAGAACUUGAGUACAGAAGAGGAAAGCGGAAUUCCACGUGUAGCGGUGAAAUGCGUAGAGAUGUGGAGGAACACCAGUGGCGAAGGCGGCUUUCUGGUCUGUAACUGACGCUGAGGCGCGAAAGCGUGGGGAGCAAACAGGAUUAGAUACCCUGGUAGUCCACGCCGUAAACGAUGAGUGCUAAGUGUUAGGGGGUUUCCGCCCCUUAGUGCUGCAGCUAACGCAUUAAGCACUCCGCCUGGGGAGUACGGCAGCAAAGGCUG